rnacentral:rRNA from 1 species
CAGUCGAGCGGUAGCACAGAGAGCUUGCUCUCGGGUGACGAGCGGCGGACGGGUGAGUAAUGUCUGGGAAACUGCCUGAUGGAGGGGGAUAACUACUGGAAACGGUAGCUAAUACCGCAUAAUGUCGCAAGACCAAAGUGGGGGACCUUCGGGCCUCAUGCCAUCAGAUGUGCCCAGAUGGGAUUAGCUAGUAGGUGGGGUAACGGCUCACCUAGGCGACGAUCCCUAGCUGGUCUGAGAGGAUGACCAGCCACACUGGAACUGAGACACGGUCCAGACUCCUACGGGAGGCAGCAGUGGGGAAUAUUGCACAAUGGGCGCAAGCCUGAUGCAGCCAUGCCGCGUGUGUGAAGAAGGCCUUCGGGUUGUAAAGCACUUUCAGCGGGGAGGAAGGCGGUGAGGUUAAUAACCUUGGCGAUUGACGUUACCCGCAGAAGAAGCACCGGCUAACUCCGUGCCAGCAGCCGCGGUAAUACGGAGGGUGCAAGCGUUAAUCGGAAUUACUGGGCGUAAAGCGCACGCAGGCGGUCUGUCAAGUCGGAUGUGAAAUCCCCGGGCUCAACCUGGGAACUGCAUUCGAAACUGGCAGGCUAGAGUCUUGUAGAGGGGGGUAGAAUUCCAGGUGUAGCGGUGAAAUGCGUAGAGAUCUGGAGGAAUACCGGUGGCGAAGGCGGCCCCCUGGACAAAGACUGACGCUCAGGUGCGAAAGCGUGGGGAGCAAACAGGAUUAGAUACCCUGGUAGUCCACGCCGUAAACGAUGUCGAUUUGGAGGUUGUGCCCUUGAGGCGUGGCUUCCGGAGCUAACGCGUUAAAUCGACCGCCUGGGGAGUACGGCCGCAAGGUUAAAACUCAAAUGAAUUGACGGGGGCCCGCACAAGCGGUGGAGCAUGUGGUUUAAUUCGAUGCAACGCGAAGAACCUUACCUGGUCUUGACAUCCACAGAACUUUCCAGAGAUGGAUUGGUGCCUUCGGGAACUGUGAGACAGGUGCUGCAUGGCUGUCGUCAGCUCGUGUUGUGAAAUGUUGGGUUAAGUCCCGCAACGAGCGCAACCCUUAUCCUUUGUUGCCAGCGGUUAGGCCGGGAACUCAAAGGAGACUGCCAGUGAUAAACUGGAGGAAGGUGGGGAUGACGUCAAGUCAUCAUGGCCCUUACGACCAGGGCUACACACGUGCUACAAUGGCAUAUACAAAGAGAAGCGACCUCGCGAGAGCAAGCGGACCUCAUAAAGUAUGUCGUAGUCCGGAUUGGAGUCUGCAACUCGACUCCAUGAAGUCGGAAUCGCUAGUAAUCGUAGAUCAGAAUGCUACGGUGAAUACGUUCCCGGGCCUUGUACACACCGCCCGUCACACCAUGGGAGUGGGUUGCAAAAGAAGUA